CCUACGGGUGGCUGCAGUGGGGAAUAUUGGACAAUGGGCGAAAGCCUGAUCCAGCCAUGCCGCGUGUGUGAAGAAGGCCUUCGGGUUGUAAAGCACUUUCAGUGGGGAAGAAAGCCUUGGGGCUAAUACCCUCGAGGAAGGACAUCACCCACAGAAGAAGCACCGGCUAACUCCGUGCCAGCAGCCGCGGUAAUACGGAGGGUGCGAGCGUUAAUCGGAAUUACUGGGCGUAAAGCGCGCGUAGGCGGUCUGAUAAGCCGGUUGUGAAAGCCCCGGGCUCAACCUGGGAACGGCAUCCGGAACUGUCAGGCUAGAGUGCAGGAGAGGAAGGUAGAAUUCCCGGUGUAGCGGUGAAAUGCGUAGAGAUCGGGAGGAAUACCAGUGGCGAAGGCGGCCUUCUGGACUGACACUGACGCUGAGGUGUGAAAGCGUGGGUAGCAAACAGGAUUAGAUACCCCUGUAGUC
rnacentral:rRNA from 1 species